rnacentral:rRNA from 1 species
UGGGGAAUAUUGGACAAUGGGCGCAAGCCUGAUCCAGCAAUGCCGCGUGUGUGAAGAAGGCCUUCGGGUUGUAAAGCACUUUUAUCAGGAGCGAAACGCUGUCGGCUAAUACCCGGCGGAACUGACGGUACCUGAGGAAUAAGCACCGGCUAACUUCGUGCCAGCAGCCGCGGUAAUACGAAGGGUGCAAGCGUUAAUCGGAAUUACUGGGCGUAAAGCGUGCGUAGGCGGUUUCUUAAGUCUGCUGUGAAAUCCCCGGGCUCAACCUGGGAAUGGCAGUGGAUACUGGGAGGCUAGAGUGUGUCAGAGGGUGGUGGAAUUCCCGGUGUAGCGGUGAAAUGCGUAGAGAUCGGGAGGAACAUCAGUGGCGAAGGCGGCCACCUGGGACAACACUGACGCUGAGGCACGAAAGCGUGGGGAGCAAACAGGAUUAGAUACCCUGGUAGUCCACGCCCUAAACGAUGCGAACUGGAUGUUGGCCUCAACUCGGAGCAUCAGUGUCGAAGCUAACGCGUUAAGUUCGCCGCCUGGGGAGUACGGUCGCAAGACUGAAACUCAAAUGAAUUGAC